rnacentral:rRNA from 1 species
GAUGAACGCUGGCGGCGUGCUUAACACAUGCAAGUCGAACGAUGAAGCCCAGCUUGCUGGGUGGAUUAGUGGCGAACGGGUGAGUAACACGUGAGUAACCUGCCCUUAACUCUGGGAUAAGCCUGGGCAACUGGGUCUAAUACAGGCUAGGAGCGUUCACCGCCCGGUGGGUGUUGGAGAGAUUUAUCGGUUUUGGAUGGACUCGCGGCCUAUCCGCUCGUUGGUGAGGUAAUGGCUAACCAAGGCGACGACAGGUAGCCGGCCUGAGAGGGUGACCGGCCACACUGGGACUGAGAGACGGCCCAGACGCCUACGGGAGGCAGCAGUGGGGAAUAUUGCACAAUGGGCGCAAGCCUGAUGCAGCGACGCCGCGUGAGGGAUGACGGCCUUCGAGUUGUAAACCUCUUUCAGUAGGGAAGAAGCGAAAGUGACGGUACCUGCAGAAGAAGCACCGGCUAACUACGUG